rnacentral:rRNA from 1 species
UACGUAGGGGGCUAGCGUUGUCCGGAAUUACUGGGCGUAAAGCGUGCGCAGGCGGUUUUGUAAGACAGAGGUGAAAUCCCCGGGCUCAACCUGGGAACUGCCUUUGUGACUGCAAGGCUUGAGUGCGGCAGAGGGGGAUGGAAUUCCGCGUGUAGCAGUGAAAUGCGUAGAUAUGCGGAGGAACACCGAUGGCGAAGGCAAUCCCCUGGGCCUGCACUGACGCUCAUGCACGAAAGCGUGGGGAGCAAACAGG